GACGAACGCUGGCGGCGUGCUUAACACAUGCAAGUCGAACGAUGAAGCCGGAGCUUGCUCUGGUGGAUUAGUGGCGAACGGGUGAGUAACACGUGAGUAACCUGCCCUUGACUCUGGGAUAAGCGUUGGAGACGACGUCUAAUACCGGAUACGAGCUAGGACCGCAUGGUCACUAGCUGGAAAGAAUUUCGGUCAAGGAUGGACUCGCGGCCUAACGGGUAGUUGGAGAGGUAACGGCACACCAAGACGACGACGGGUAGCCGGCCUGAGAGGGUGACCGGCCACACUGGGACUGAGACACGGCCCAGACUCCUACGGGAGGCAGCAGUGGGGAAUAUUGCACAAUGGGCGCAAGCCUGAUGCAGCAACGCCGCGUGAGGGACGACGGCCUUCGGGUUGUAAACCUCUUUUAGCAGGGAAGAAGCGCAAGUGACGGUACCUGCAGAAAAAGCACCGGCUAACUACGUGCCAGCCGCCGCCGUAA
rnacentral:rRNA from 1 species